AGAGUUUGAUCCUGGCUCAGGACGAACGCUGGCGGCACGCCUAACACAUGCAAGUCGAACGAGAGAAGAGGAGCUUGCUUUUCUGAUCUAGUGGCGGACGGGUGAGUAACACGUGAGCAAUCUGCCUUUCAGAGGGGGAUACCGAUUGGAAACGAUCGUUAAUACCGCAUAACAUAAUUGAACCGCAUGAUUUGAUUAUCAAAGAUUUAUCGCUGAAAGAUGAGCUCGCGUCUGAUUAGCUAGUUGGUAAGGUAACGGCUUACCAAGGCGACGAUCAGUAGCCGGACUGAGAGGUUGAUCGGCCACAUUGGGACUGAGACACGGCCCAGACUCCUACGGGAGGCAGCAGUGGGGAAUAUUGCACAAUGGAGGAAACUCUGAUGCAGCGAUGCCGCGUGAGGGAAGAAGGUUUUAGGAUUGUAAACCCCUGUCUUCAGGGACGAAAAAAGACGGUACCUGAGGAGGAAGCUCCGGCUAACUACGUGCCAGCAGCCGCGGUAAUACGUAGGGAGCGAGCGUUGUCCGGAAUUACUGGGUGUAAAGGGAGCGUAGGCGGGAUCGCAAGUCAGAUGUGAAAACUAUGGGCUUAACCCAUAAACUGCAUUUGAAACUGUGGUUCUUGAGUGAAGUAGAGGUAAGCGGAAUUCCUAGUGUAGCGGUGAAAUGCGUAGAUAUUAGGAGGAACAUCAGUGGCGAAGGCGGCUUACUGGGCUUUAACUGACGCUGAGGCUCGAAAGCGUGGGGAGCAAACAGGAUUAGAUACCCUGGUAGUCCACGCCGUAAACGAUGAUUACUAGGUGUGGGGGGACUGACCCCUUCCGUGCCGCAGCAAACGCAAUAAGUAAUCCACCUGGGGAGUACGACCGCAAGGUUGAAACUCAAAGGAAUUGACGGGGGCCCGCACAAGCAGUGGAGUAUGUGGAUUAAUUCGAAGCAACGCGAAGAACCUUACCAGGUCUUGACAUCGUAUGCAUAGCUCAGAGAUGAGUGAAAUCUCUUCGGAGACAUAUAGACAGGUGGUGCAUGGUUGUCGUCAGCUCGUGUCGUGAGAUGUUGGGUUAAGUCCCGCAACGAGCGCAACCCUUACUGUUAGUUGCUACGCAAGAGCACUCUAGCAGGACUGCCGUUGACAAAACGGAGGAAGGUGGGGAUGACGUCAAAUCAUCAUGCCCCUUAUGACCUGGGCCUCACACGUACUACAAUGGCUGUCAACAGAGGGAAGCUAAGCCGCGAGGUGGAGCGAACCCCUAAAGGCAGUCUUAGUUCGGAUUGUAGGCUGCAACCCGCCUACAUGAAGUCGGAAUUGCUAGUAAUCGCAGAUCAGCAUGCUGCGGUGAAUACGUUCCCGGGCCUUGUACACACCGCCCGUCACGCCAUGGGAGUCGGUAACACCCGAAGCCUGUAGUCUAACCGCAAGGAGGACGCAGUCGAAGGUGGGAUUGAUGACUGGGGUGAAGUCGUAACAAGGUA
rnacentral:rRNA from 1 species